AUGUACAUGGACUUGUUCGACUGCCGCCAUGGACGCGUCGUCUUCUUCGACCAUAGGCUGCGCGAGGUCAUGCUGUUUGAUCCCGCCACCGGAGGCCGCCGUCAUGUGGUCGUUCCACCAGUUUUUGACGAGAAGGAUAUUGGCGUCUUCAACGCCGCCGUGAUUUGCGUUGCCGGCGACGAAGGCCACGUGCACGGCGAUUGCCACACCAGCCCAUUUCAGGUGGUCUUGAUAGGUAUCCACGAUGAUAAUAAACUGAGAAAAGGUACAAACUAUCCAGCAGAGGCGUCCGUGUUUGUUCCGUCCGCAACUGCAGCAAUUCGGUAUAUGUGUGAGCUGAGCCGUCCGAGCACCCUUGUAGGGGAUUCUGUUUAUUGGGUGUUUGAUGGCAAUGAGGAUGGCAUACUCAAGUUUGAUUUAGAUAGCCAUAGCCUAGUUAAUAUCGAGCUGCCGGAUUUGUUGAGGUAUUAUAGCUGCUCGAGCAGCUCUAAGAUCAUGUCGACAGAUGAUGGCAGUUUUGGCCUUGCUGUCUUGGAAUACCAAAAAUUCGAAAUGUGGGAGAGGAAGGUCGGUUGUGAUGGUGUUGCCGGAUGGGUGCUGCAGAAGACCUUUCAAUUGAACACUAUCCUUGGUCUAGGGCCUAUGGGAGAAACGGAUAAUCUCAUGUUGGGGUAUGAUGAAGAUGAUCGUGUGAUUUAUGUAAGGACAGAUAUUGGUGUCUGCAUCAUUCAGCUUGAGACAAUGCAGUUCAGAAAUCUUGGCAAAGAUAAUUUCACGACCACCGCCUAUUAUCCGUACAAAAGUUUCUAUACUGCAGUGAGUGACCUGUCAGUAUGUGAAAGAAGAAUUGGUGGCAUCUCCAGAUCUCUGGCGAAGGAUGGCAGCAUCAUGGUUCCUGCUUCAAGGGGAGCAGGAGCGGUAGGAGACAAUGCUGCUGCUGCAGCUGCCUCGACCCGAACCAUACCAGGAGGAGAUAUGUUAGACAAAUCAAACAGCAGAGUUCAAGGAAUCGACACAGGUCUUGUGCCAAGCCGGGUACUGACACAAACUCGAGUCGACGUGAUAUUCAAGAAAGAGACGGAGACAAGAUCAAAGCUUAGCAAAGCUUGGGCAAAAUGGUUCCGCAGCAACGGGGUUCCUGAAAGUAAAGCAGACUGCCCACACUUCCGCAAUGCCAUGAAGUUAACGCAGCAACUAGGUACCCGCUUGCCUGUUCCUACAGGCGGUGAACUAGGGGGCAUAAAUCUGGACGCUGAGGAAGAACUUUCGUAA
rnacentral:rRNA from 1 species